rnacentral:lncRNA from 1 species
AUACCUACUAUUGGUUAUAGUUCACUUGUAGGCGGUAGCAAUAGCUUGGUGCCUUCAGCGUUACUAGUCCUUGGACAUGCAUGAACAUGUGGGAUACUUUCGAAAUCUAGCUUGCGUCAGAUCUCUUUCGAACGCCUUUAUUUUCUUGUUUUGUUUCUAGCUUACCUCCACGGUUGAUAUAUUCGGGCCAUCAUCAAGUCAAUAUUAUGUGGAAGGACUUACUUAAUUGUUUUUUAUAAGAAUAUAUAGUGACUAAACUUGGUCGACUAUUCCAAUUAAGUAGAGUGAGAGGUGAGAGAGAUAGUUUUUUUUUUAUGAAUCCAUAGUCCUAGUAGAAACACUAACACUAAAAGUGGCAAAAUUAAUACAAAACCUGGUUUGAUACUUCAAAUUAGGAGGUUUAACCUGGAAUUAAUAACCUUCUUCUGAGAUAGUCUAAUUUGUGAAGCAUUUACCAUUUCAAAUUAUUUUAUUGACUUGUCCAAUUCAUGCCAAGAUGAUAUACACAUAAAAGACUAUGUGCCAAUGAAUUUACUUUUUGAAUUCUUUUUUUCAAAAUGGGGUGUGUAAAUUGCAGACAUAUCAUUCCGUAGCAAGGGGUUGAAUCUUUCUGUCACCCUUGGUAUGUGGAUCUUCAUAAUUCAUAAUUGUGUACCUUACGAAGAUUUUUGUAACUAUUUAGGAAAAAACUAUCACACACUUGUAGUUCAAAUUUGAAUUACUUAUGACAAAUCGGCCAUCACUUAAAUGGGAAAACGUAGCUAGAAAGCUAGGAAAUUAAUAAUAAUUUGAUAGUAUACACGAAAUAUGGUAUACUUCAUGUCAAAAUUGUAUAGGUGCAAUUUUGAACCACAUAUAUUAAUCGUGCUUGCUUCACAAAAUACACUAUCUUGGUGUUUAGAAAAUGGAAAAAAUAAAACAAAAAAGUUGUGAACCUCUUGAGCAAUAUUGUUUGCCAUGGCAAUAUGCACCUCUAUGCAACAAAAAAAGGGUACAUUAUCAGGAACUAUGGCAUGGAUCGAAAUGGGCAUAAACUUGGUCAGUUGUCUUAAAAACCAUUAUAAUAUUCAUACAUGCUAGGCCAUUUUGUGAAGUUUUUUUGUGUGAAA